UUAGCUUUCCAUCUACUUUCUUAUAAUUGAAAAAGAAGUUGGUGAAACAUAUGCUCAUUAUUAAGAGUUGUAUCACACCAUAUAUAUGCAUAAGGUUUGGGCAGAGACUUAAAGUAGAGAUACAGAGUCAGAGAGCAAUGAUCCUUAUGCCUUCUCAGGCGACUCAUCAUCACUUCAUCAUCCAUCGAUCAAAGGUCGAAGAAGAAGUGAAGAUAUAUCAACUGAUUAUAUGUUUGGAGAUGAUUAAUAAGAAUCAUAGAAAAUGAUCAGCGAUAUGGAGUAAUCCUAUAACAACUGGUUCGAGUUUGAUCGAAUCGAUAUUUCUUUUCUUUCGAUUGCUUCGAAUAAAAAGUUGGAUCAUGGUUUGAGGCAAGUAAAAGAUCACCAGUUCCCCCUUUCACAACUUCAAUCUCUUUUGUCAAGGAUUAUAUUAUUACAUACUCUAUGUUUUAAUUUUCAACCAAAUUCAGGUUCUUAUUUUGUCAGAUUAUAUGAACUAAUAUUCAAUUCUAUAAUUGUUAUUUUUGUAUGACCAUUACGUGGUAUAAAAUCUCUUUAGCUAGUAUUCACUGAUACUCGAUUAAAAAUUCCGUAUGUAUCAAACAACAUAUUAUUGCUCCAUUGAAGCGGAUGAU